rnacentral:rRNA from 1 species
CCUACGGGAGGCAGCAGGGAGGAAUAUUGCACAAUCGGCGCAAGCCGGAUGCAGCAACGCCGCGUGGAGGACGAAGGCCUUCGGGUUGUAAACUCCUUUUCUGGGGGAUGAGCAAGGACAGUACCCCAGGAAUAAGUCUCGGCUAACUACGUGCCAGCAGCCGCGGUAACACGUAGGAGGCGAGCGUUAUCCGGAUUUAUUGGGCGUAAAGCGCGCGCAGGUGGCUUCGUAAGUCGGACGUGAAAGCUCCUGGCUUAACUGGGAGAGGUCGUUCGAUACUGCGGAACUUGAGGUUGGGAGAGGGGUGUGGAAUUCCCGGUGUAGUGGUGGAAUGCGUAGAGAUCGGGAGGAACACCAGUGGCGAAGGCGGCACCCUGGCCCACACCUGACGCUGAGGUGCGAAAGCGUGGGGAGCAAACAGGAUUAGAUCCCC